UAUAUUCUUCAGGGCAGGGUGAAAUUCCCGACCGGCGGUAAAAGUCCGCGAACUGCGAAAGUGGUUGACUUGGUGAAAUUCCAAGACCGACAGUAAAGUCUGGAUGGGAGAAGAUGAUU
rnacentral:ncRNA from 2 species